rnacentral:tRNA from 1 species
UCCCUGGUAGCUCAACUGGGAAAGAAUCUGCCUGCGAAGCAGAAGACCCCAGUUCAAUUCCUGGGUUGGGAA